AGAACGAACGCUGGCGGCAGGCUUAACACAUGCAAGUCGAGCGCACCGCAAGGUGAGCGGCAGACGGGUGAGUAACGCGUGGGAAUCUACCCAACCCUACGGAAUAACACAGGGAAACUUGUGCUAAUACCGUAUACGCCCUACGGGGGAAAGAUUUAUCGGGGUUGGAUGAGCCCGCGUUGGAUUAGCUAGUUGGUGGGGUAAUGGCCUACCAAGGCGACGAUCCAUAGCUGGUCUGAGAGGAUGAUCAGCCACACUGGGACUGAGACACGGCCCAGACUCCUACGGGAGGCAGCAGUGGGGAAUAUUGGACAAUGGGCGAAAGCCUGAUCCAGCCAUGCCGCGUGAGUGAUGAAGGCCUUAGGGUUGUAAAGCUCUUUCAGUGGGAAGAUAAUGACGGUACCCACAGAAGAAGCCCGGCUAACUUCGCGCCAGCAGCCGC
rnacentral:rRNA from 1 species